AUUGAACGCUGGCGGCAGGCUUAACACAUGCAAGUCGGACGAGUGGCGGACGGGUGCGUAAUGCUUGGGAAUCUAGCUUAUGGAGGGGGAUAACUACGGGAAACUGUAGCUAAUACCGCGUACAAUAGGAUGAGCCCAAGUGGGAUUAGGUAGUUGGUGAGGUAAAGGCUAACCAAGCCGACGAUCUCUAGCUGGUCUGAGAGGAUGACCAGCCACACGGGGACUGGGACACGGCCCAGACUCCUACGGGAGGCAGCAGUGGGGAAUAUUGCGCAAUGGGGGCAACCUGACGCAGCCAUGCCGCGUGAGUGAAGAAGGCCUUCGGUUUUUAAAGUUCUUUCGGUAGCGAGGCGUUAACUACAGAAGAAGCACCGGCUAACUCCGUGCCAGCAGCCGCGGUAAUAC
rnacentral:rRNA from 1 species